rnacentral:lncRNA from 1 species
AUGGCCACCAAGGGCCAGAAGCGGAAGGGGUGGCAGAGGAGUGGCACAAGGACGAGAGACUAAGAAUUGAUGACUUCUCCCAGAUGAAGAUCUGAUGAGAGAGCUAUGGGCUGAGAUGCUGCAAUGAUGAACACCACGGAAAUCCCCAGAAGCAAACAAGCCAACAGAGGUCACUUGGUUACCUUUGAAAAGUCCACCAGUUCUGCUUUGGAGAGCGACUUUGGGAAGGAACACUGCAGAGAGACAGGGAAUUCUAAUGAAAACGUGUGUUAGGAUGUUUGGGAGAUGAAGAUUGGAAGCUAUUCUUCUAUUUCUAAUAUCAACCAAAAGCUG